CGACAAUCAACUAGUCUAUAACUGUAAUGUUGAUGAUCGGCACAGUCUACUUCAGCUCUGCAAGUGCUUCCAGAUGAACACCAUAGUACAGAGAUCUAGCAAGUGUCGAUACAUGCAUCUGUUCAUGAUGUUGUGCUACUAGUUUGAACUGGCCUGCAUGUUCCGCCAUCAUAGACAUGUCCAAGCAAGUUGCCGGCCACGUCAUUGACAAAAAAUGCUGCAUGAUCAGAAACGUAUCUCCUUAUUUUAUCACUGGGAUCAAAUUCUGCCCCAAGCUCUCCACAAAGCCAGCUCAUCUUGUGCAAUGUACACACUCAGGUUCUAAGACAACCGAGAUGACUGGAUGAGUCUCCAUAUACAACUGAAAAUCGUAAAAGAGAUUUAUUCUAUUGUUCUUUUCUGGUUUGCAUCAGCACCCUGUGCGGUGUUCAUUACAUGUAAAUCUCAAUUACGUAAUGUCCACGUGAAUUUGUCGAUAUUCUGCCCAUAUACUGCUGUUCUACCUGGGCCCCGUGUAAGUCCCAUGUAAUGCUCACAUGCGUUUGCCCAUAUUCUGCCCAUGAAGUGCCUACCCACCUGGGCCCCUGGUUAAUCCCAUGUAAGGCCCAUACUAUUGACCUACCUGGGCCCUGCGUUUCUAAUGCCCAUAUGGA